GAGCACUAACUUGACACAAAAGGAAGGUACAAAUUACAACCAAAAGGCAGGUUCGGAAGGUUCAACAAAAGUAACAUGCUAUCAAGCUAUAAGCCUGAAAAGGAUAAAUAAUGAGAGGGUGAGUUCAACAACUCAGUGAGUAGAUAACGUUCAAUAUACACACACGAGGUAAUAUAGCAAUGAGAAAUAUAUAUACAAGUAUGGCUUUAGUUCUUAUACGAAGGUUUAUCAAAUAGGCCAUAACAAGAAUAUCAUAUGGUAAAACUUGUCAGAAAAUCAAAAUGCAAUGAGCAUGAGGCUCCGUACUGUGGGAUGAUCAGUCCACACAGGUUGGUGACUCUCCCCCGACCAACUAGGGUUCAGAUACGAUGUGCACAAAGACUAACACUACCCUGUUAGCAUGGGUAUUCUGACUGACAUACCAUAGGCUCAUAAUCAUAAUCAAACAAACAUAUUCAUAUCUCAAAGCUCAACUCAUGACAUCCAUCAAAUGAGGAGCUAUCAAUUCAGAAGUCAAAUCAUAUUGGUUCAUAUCAAGAAAUCAGAUUCAAUAAUUGAUCAUGCUUUAUCAUAUCAAGGAUAAUAAUCAGCAUAUAUAUUAUCAAGAAGCAUGAUCCAAUUCAUAUUAACAAAUCAAAUAUUUAUAAUAUUUCUCAUGCAUAUGGAAAAUUAUCCACUCACCUGACUCAAAAGCAAACUGCACACACAAGCUGAAACCGAAGGAAAUUCUACUGACGUCCUGCCGGUAGAAUAUCAGGAUUAUCUGAAUACAAAGGAGACAUAUUCAAGAACGACUCGAAAGAACAUUUAACCUAUUUAAUACACUUAACUAAGGGUGUAUUCCGUAAUCCUAUAUAUUUUUGAACUAACUAGUCAAUUUUCUUAAAAACCCAAAAUCUAACGGUUUUCCCGAAAUCUAAUCCAUAAUAAAAACAACUAAUAAAAUUGGUAAUAAUUCACUAAAUAACCCUUAAUUAUUCAUCAAACUAAUCUGCAAAAGCUAAUAUUACAGCUAGGGACUAAUAUGGAAUUUUUCUAUAUUUUUAGGGCCAAAUUGUAACUUUUGUCAAAUGGAGGACCAAACUGAAAUUUGUCAUAAAUCCAUGAAUAUACUGAAAUUCUGACCUUAAUUAAUCCUCAAUUAUGUCCAGGAUGUAUCAUUAUGCUUCAGGGAUCAUUCUGGAAUUUUACUAAAUUUUUAGGGUCAAAUCGUACUUUUUGUCAAAUUGGAGGACUAAAUUGAAAGUGUUAAAUUCUCUUAUCUAUACAGUAAUUAUGUCCAUAAUUCAUAUGUUAUUCUGUUCAGAAUCUCGGAAUAUGCUCCAGGGACCAAUUUGUAAUUUUCCAAAGUUCAGGGACUAAACUGUAAUUUUCGGAAAUUGAGGGACCAAAUUGAAUUUUCGUCAUCUUCAACCUCCAGUCCAGAUUUUAACAGAAACCCCACUGUUCUCCCCUGAUUUCUAACUCAAUUUUCACCAUUUACACAAUUCUAUAACUCAAAAUCAUCAUAAUCUUCCAUAAUCAACUAAAUCAUCAAUUAAACACAACAAUCAACCCCUAACCUUCAAUUUAAUUCAUCAAUUUAAAUCAAACACAAAUUCUCAAAACCCUAACAUUCAUAAAAACUAAAAUUAAAGCUUAAUUAACAUAUUAUACACAUUAAACAACCUAAAUCUUACCUUUUUCACUUAUUUCCUCCAAUUCUCUUCCUUUUUCCCUUAUUUUCCCCUCUUUUCUCUUCUUCUUCUUUCCUUUCUCACUUCUGCCGAUUCUCUUCCUCUCAAAAUCAGAUUUCUAUUAUUUUUUUUUUUUUUUUACUUCCUUUUUAUAUUUAUCAACUAUUUAUCCAAUUACUACUAUACCCCUCAUUUAAUUUAUUCCUACAUCUAAGCCUUCAAGGGGUUUCUAGGCUUUUCCUAUCUCAUUAAUUCAAAAC
rnacentral:lncRNA from 1 species